UACAGGAGGGUGCGAGCGUUGUCCGGAAUCACUGGGCGUAAAGAGCGUGUAGGCGGCUCGAUAAGUCUGCUGUGAAAGUCCAGGGCUCAACCCUGGAAGGCCGGUGGAAACUGUCGGGCUAGAGUACGGAAGAGGCGAGUGGAAUUCCUGGUGUAGCGGUGAAAUGCGCAGAUAUCAGGAGGAACACCAAUUGCGAAGGCAGCUCGCUGGGACGUAACUGACGCUGAGACGCGAAAGCGUGGGGAGCAAACAGG
rnacentral:rRNA from 1 species